AGAGUUUGAUCCUGGCUCAGGAUGAACGCUGGCGGCGUGCUUAACACAUGCAAGUCGAACGAACCUUCGGGUUAGUGGCGGACGGGUGAGUAACGCGUGGGAAUCUGCCCUCAGGAGGGGGAUAACGACUGGAAACGGUCGCUAAUACCCCAUAUGCCGAGAGGUGAAAUGAAUUUCGCCUGAGGAUGAGCCCGCGUCUGAUUAGCUAGUUGGUGUGGUAAGAGCGCACCAAGGCGACGAUCAGUAGCUGGUCUGAGAGGAUGAUCAGCCACACUGGGACUGAGACACGGCCCAGACUCCUACGGGAGGCAGCAGUGGGGAAUUUUCCGCAAUGGGCGAAAGCCUGACGGAGCAACGCCGCGUGAGGGAUGAAGGCCUCUGGGCUGUAAACCUCUUUUCUCAAGGAAGAAGAUCUGACGGUACUUGAGGAAUAAGCCACGGCUAAUUCCGUGCCAGCAGCCGCGGUAAUACGGGAGUGGCAAGCGUUAUCCGGAAUCAUUGGGCGUAAAGCGUCCGCAGGUGGCUUUGUAAGUCUGCCGUUAAAGCGUGGAGCUUAACUCCAUUUCAGCGGUGGAAACUACAAAGCUUGAGUGUGGUAGGGGCAGAGGGAAUUCCCGGUGUAGCGGUGAAAUGCGUAGAUAUCGGGAAGAACACCAGUGGCGAAGGCGCUCUGCUGGGCCAUAACUGACACUCAUGGACGAAAGCCAGGGGAGCGAAAGGGAUUAGAUACCCCUGUAGUCCUGGCCGUAAACGAUGAACACUAGGCGUCGGGGGAAUCGACCCCCUCGGUGUCGUAGCCAACGCGUUAAGUGUUCCGCCUGGGGAGUACGCACGCAAGUGUGAAACUCAAAGGAAUUGACGGGGGCCCGCACAAGCGGUGGAGUAUGU
rnacentral:rRNA from 1 species